rnacentral:rRNA from 1 species
AGCCUACGGGGCGCAGCAGUGGGGGAUAUUGCACAAUGGGCGAAAGCCUGAUGCAGCGACGUCGCGUGAGGGAAGACGGUCUUCGGAUUGUAAACCUCUGUCUUUGGGGAAGAAGAUGACGGUACCCAAAGAGGAAACUCCGGCUAACUACGUGCCAGCAGCCGCGGUAAUACGUAGGGAGCGAGCGUUGUCCGGAAUUACUGGGUGUAAAGGGAGCAUAGGCGGGGAUGGAAGGUGGAUGUUUAAACUAU